GAGGGUAUAGCUCAAGUGGUGGAGCACAUGCUUAGCAUGAAUGAGGUUCUGGGUUCAAUCUCCAGUACACCUA
rfam:Camelus ferus unplaced genomic scaffold scaffold503, whole genome shotgun sequence.